AAGUGGGAGCCCAUUACUAAUGGGCCCACUAUCACCGGUAGCAUGUUGGAGACCUGCAAGAGGAGGGAUGAUUGAAGGCAGGGUCCAGGGAGAUGAAGGGACUUAGUUGGGUAUACACUUAGUCCCAAGGUGGUACCAGAGGCAAACUUCCUUGACCCAGAUCUGGAGAAGGUGAGAGUUUCGGGACUUUGAUUUGUUGAAGGCAUUCACCUUUGUAACUUGGGACAAAUUACGCAGUUUGAGCCUCAACUUUCUUGUUAGCAAAAUUAAGAUUAAAAAGGUUGUUGGAGGAGCCAGGUGUGGUGAUUCAUGCCUGUAAUCCCAGCAAUUUGGGAGACAGAGGUGGGAGGAUUGCUUGAGGCCAGGGGUUCCAGCCAGUCUGGGCAAAAUAGCAGGAUCCCGACUCUACAAAAAAAUUUAAAAAUUAGCCAGAUGUGGCCAGGUGCGAUGGCUCACUCCUAUAAUCCCAACACUUUGGGAGGCCAAGGCGGGUAGAUCACGAGGUCAGGAGUUUGAGACCAGCCUGACCAACAUGGUGAAAACCUGUCCUACUAAAAAUACAAAAAUCAGCCAGGCGUGGUGGCACACGCCUGUAAUCCCAGCUACUCAGGAGGCUGAGACAGGAGAAUGGCUUGAACCCGGGAGGCGGGAGAUUGCAGUGAGCCGAGAUCAUGCCAUUGCACUCCAGCCAAGAUGACACAGUGAGACUCCAGAUUUGGUGGUGCACACGUGUGGUCUCAGCUAUUUGGAAGUGCACACGUGUGGUCUCAGCUAUUUGGAAGACUGAAGCUAGAGGAUCACAUGAGCCCAGGGGUUGGAGGCUGCAGUGAGCUAUGAUCACACCACUGCACUCCAACCUGGGUGACAGAGCAAGACCCUGUCUCAAAAAGAAAAAAAGAAAGUUGUUGGGAUGAUUAAAUGAGACAACUGUGUUAGCACUUAACAUAGCCUGGCAUAUGGAAGGCUGACAAUAAAUGGUAGCUAUUUUUAAAUGGGAAGAAAAAGGGCCGGUGUGGUCUAAGUUCUCUGCAGGAGACCUUCAGGAAGGUGGUUGGGGCCAUCUGCCCUUUGCUCUGGGGAGCAUAGAGCUCUACUCACUGCAUGCUCUAUAGGGUGGGCAUAGAGAGAGAUCACGCCAAUGGGAGCUGUCCACUCAUGGUGUUUCUUGUGGAUUUUCUUGUAGAAUGUUGGGUGGUGAAGGAGCCUGGGGAAAUAGUUAAUAGUUAAUAACCUGCUGAUUCCUCUUUCUCCCUCCCCGACCAGACCAUGAGAAACCAAAAAUAGGAACUAGGGGUUACAUCCAUGGAGCAAAGUUAACAACACCAAGACCUGCCUUCAAAUUUCAACCCCAGCCCUUAUACUGCAUAGUUUGGGAGUGGGUUGCUUUGCUUCUCUAUGCCAGUUGUAUUCGCUGUAAAAUGGGAUGCUGCCCAGAAAGGACUGAAUAAGGAAAUGAAUGGGAAACUGCCCUGGCUCCCACACAAUCAGAGAGGCCUUUUCUCUUUUGGACAUUCAUUCCUCAGUUGUCCCAAGUUGUCAGUUAUGAGACAACUAGUGGUCUCCCUGUUAACUAUUUAAUGGGACACUUGAGGCCAGGGAGUAUUUUACUGGCCUACACUCAAUUCAGAAGCCUGUUCCCUUUUAUUUUUUUUCUUUGAGACAAGGUCUUGCUCUUUCGCCCAGGCUGGAGUGCAGUGGUGUGAUCACAGCUCACUAUAGCCUUGACCUCCCGGGCUCAUGUGAUCCUCCCACCUCAAUCUCCCAAGUAGCUGGGACUACAAGUACACACCACCAUGCCUGGCUAAUUUUUUAAAUUUUUUUGUAGAGACGGGGUCUCCUGACAUUCCCCAGGCUAGUCUCAAACUCCUGGGCUCAAGUGAUCCGCCCACCUCAGCCUCCCAAAUUGCCAGGAUUACAAGCGUGAGUCACUGCACCUGGCCUCAGUUUCCUUGUUGAUCAGUGAGCCCUAGACAGGAUGAGGAGCCAGCUGUGCCUCAGGCAGGGCCUGCUCACCGGUGUGAAUAGUAGAACAAGACUUCCUCGAUCAGCGUGAAGAUGGCCAGCUCCAGGAGGAACCAGUGGAAGGAGGCCCUCACUCUGGUUGGAUUCUGGGAGAGAUGUCGGGGGACAGCCAGUAGCUCCUGACUGCCACCCAGCUCUGGGCCUGGAAACGUUGCAGAAUAAGGCCCUGGCUGCUAGGCAGAGAUCAAGAUCAUCUGCCUCCUCAAGUGGUCCAGCCUCCCUGCAGUAGGCCCAGAGCAAAGAAGCAGGCUGGAAGUGCAGUUGUGUGAUCAUGGCUCACUGUAGCCUCGACCUGCCAAGCCGAAGUGAUCCUCUUGCUUCAGCCUCCUGAAUAGUUGGGGCUACCGGCACCUGCCACCAUGCCCAGCUAGGACUCGGCUUUGCUUAAUUCCAUGUCUGUGCCCCUCCACCAGCACCCUUCAUGCUCCAUCAACCGAAGUAACUGUGGCGGCUGGGACUUGGAAAAUACUUGCCAGCACUGUAGGGGAGUAGGAUUGGUACAAACCUUCUAGAGGGCAAUUUGGCAGUAACUGAAGUAAUAAAGUGAGAGAGUCAGAGAGCCAAGACAGAAAGGGAGAAAGAAGAAAAGGACACACGUCUGUUUGUAUGCAUAAAUGUCCGUCACAGCAUUAAAAAAAAAAUUUAAGCAGCCUAAAUACCCAUUAGUAGGGAAGGGACUAAACAGAUUAGAGUAUUUCCAUAUAAUGGAAUAGAAUGGGAAGCUUAGAGUAUUAAGUAAGGCUACAUUAAUAGGCAUGGAAAGAUACCUACAAUCUAUUCAAUGAAAAAAAGAUUUAAAAAUAGUUGGUAUCUCAUAAGUACAACUAUAUACCCAAUAUAUAAAAGAUGCACACUAAUAUAUAAACAGUGGUUAUUUCUUGAAGGUAAGACAGUGGGUGAUUUUCACACUUUCUAUGCUUAUUUGAAUUGCCUGAUUUUUAUUUUUAACAAUGAGCACAUAUUUACUUUUGUUUUUUUUUUUUUUUGAGACAGAGUCUUGCUCUGUCACCCAGGCUGGAGUGCAGUGGCGUGAGCUCAGCUCGCUGCAAGAUCUGCCUCCCGGGUUCACGCCAUUCUCCUGCCUCAGCCUCCUGAGUAGCUGGGACUACUGGCGCCCGCCACCGCGCCCGACUAAUUUUUUGUAUUUUUAGUAGAGACGGGGUUUCACCAUGGUCUCGAUCUCCUGACCUCAUGAUCCGCCUGCCUCGGCCUCCCAAAGUGCUGGGAUUACAGGCGUGAGCCACUGCGCCUGGCCCAUAUUUACUUUUAUACCCAGAAAAAAUAAACUAUUUUUUACUUUGGAAAAAAAAGGCUGAUGGUUACCCAGUGGGCCAUCCAAGGUGUCUACCUACUUGGAACUUCAAAGGCUGCCUGAGGAAUACAGAUGAAAAGCACACCGUAAGACGAUCUUAAACUUCUUCUAGCUCUAACACUUAAAAUUGGAAAUAUUUUCUCUCUCUCAUAUUGGCUUAUCACCAAGGUAAUAGGUAAUUUUCACAGGAUUGUACCUAACAUAUAUAAAAUAUUUGAGGUUUUUUUAGAUUGCAGGUUCAAGCUAAUAAAGUUUUUCUACCACCUUCUCCAUAUACAUAGGUAAUCUGCAUUGUUCAAUGACUGCUUAAGAU
rnacentral:lncRNA from 10 species